GUGAACGCUGGCGGUAGGCCUAACACAUGCAAGUCGAACGGCAGCACAGUAAGGGCUUGCUCUUACGGGUGGCGAGUGGCGGACGGGUGAGGAAUACAUCGGAAUCUACUUUUUCGUGGGGGAUAACGUAGGGAAACUUACGCUAAUACCGCAUACGACCUACGGGUGAAAGCCGGGGAUCUUCGGACCUUUCGCGAUUGAAUGAGCCGAUGUCGGAUUAGCUAGUUGGCGGGGUAAAGGCCCACCAAGGCGACGAUCCGUAGCUGGUCUGAGAGGAUGAUCAGCCACACUGGAACUGAGACACGGUCCAGACUCCUACGGGAGGCAGCAGUGGGGAAUAUUGGACAAUGGGCGCAAGCCUGAUCCAGCCAUACCGCGUGGGUGAAGAAGGCCUUCGGGUUGUAAAGCCCUUUUGUUGGGAAAGAAAAGCAGCAGGUUAAUACCCCGCUGUUCUGACGGUACCCAAAGAAUAAGCACCGGCUAACUUCGUG
rnacentral:rRNA from 1 species